UACGUAGGGCGCAAGCGUUAUCCGGAAUUAUUGGGCGUAAAGAGCUCGUAGGCGGUUUGUCGCGUCUGCCGUGAAAGUCCGGGGCUCAACUCCGGAUCUGCGGUGGGUACGGGCAGACUAGAGUGAUGUAGGGGAGACUGGAAUUCCUGGUGUAGCGGUGAAAUGCGCAGAUAUCAGGAGGAACACCGAUGGCGAAGGCAGGUCUCUGGGCAUUAACUGACGCUGAGGAGCGAAAGCUGGGGGAGCAAACAGG
rnacentral:rRNA from 1 species